rnacentral:rRNA from 1 species
GACGAACCGUGCGAACGUUAUUCGGAAUCACUGGGCUUAAAGCGCGCGUAGGCGGACCUGCAAGUCGGGGGUGAAAGCCCGAGGCUCAACCUCGGAACUGCCUUCGAUACUGCGGGUCUCGAGUCCGGGAGAGGUGAGUGGAAUUCCUAGUGUAGAGGUGAAAUUCGUAGAUAUUAGGAAGAACACCAGUGGCGAAGGCGGCUCACUGGCCCGGUACUGACGCUGAGGCGCGAAAGCGUGGGGAGCAAACAGG